AUUGAACGCUGGCGGCAUGCUUUACACAUGCCAGUCGAACGGCAGCGCGGGCUUCGGCCUGGCGGCGAGUGGCGAACGGGUGAGUAAUACAUCGGAACGUGCCCAGCAGUGGGGGAUAGCUCGUCGAAAGCCGGAUUAAUACCGCAUACGACCUGCGGGUGCAAGCGGGGGAUCUUCGGACCUCGCGCUCUGGUGGGGGCCGAGGGCCGAUUAGUUAGUUGGUGGGGUAAAGGCCUACUAAGGCGACGAUCUGUAGCUGGUCUGAGAGGACGACCAGCCACACUGGGACUGAGACACGGCCCAGACUCCUGAGGGAGGCAGCAGUGGGGAAUUUUGGACAAUGGGCGAAAGCCUGAUCCAGCAAUGCCGCGUGUGUGAUGGAGGCCUUCGGGUUGUAAAGAACUUUUGGCGGGAACGAAAAGGACUGGGCCAAUACCACGGUUCGAUGACGGUACCCGCAGAAUAAGCACCGGCUAACUACGUG
rnacentral:rRNA from 1 species